UUUCAAUUGUGUGGUGUUCUUCAUUUCGUGCACUUGUGGUUCGCUGGGAAGUUGCUGAGAACUGAGGACGGUUGGCAGAAGACUCUAUAUGCUCAACACCUUUAUAAACGAAAGGAACUACCCAUAUGGCGAAUUCUACAGGUUUUGAACAGAUGAUGGAAAUAAGAGAAAUUAAUGCCUCAUCAAAUCAAGAUAUUAGCGACAUAAUCACGGAGAAAUGUUGUGUAUUAACUUCCAUGAGUCGCAUUGCUCUAGGGCGUGUGGAAGAUAGCAGAAGAUUCUGGAUUGUCAAACAACCUAUAUACGAAGGGCAAUCAGUUAUGCAUCCCGUUACAUUUACAUUAGUAGGUGACAGAGAAGUUGUACAGUCAGUAAAGCAGCAUAUGAUAUCAUUGAUUGGGAGGGCACAAGGCCAGAUGAUUAUUAUUCCUACACCGUUUCCUGGCGAUGAAAGAUGCUUCCAACUCAUGAUUCCUGUACAAAAGGUCAACCUUUUGUUUGGGGAUGGAGGACUAAAAAUAAGAAAAAUACAGAAGAGGACUUGUAAGUUCAUCUUCUUGCCACACCCACUCGAAAAUAUCAAUGCAGUUGCAUUCAAAUUGAUUCAAGCGAAUGCCUUCUACACUUUCUAAAGUAAAAAUAAUAAUGAUGGAUGAUAUUCCUGAGACAGUGGAGGAGAAACCUGUCUGGAUCUACGGUGAAGACUCUUGUGUGCUUGUUGCUAAAUUGAGAAUCAGUCUUUUGUUAAAUCCACAAACAU